ACGUUUCUCUGAGGCUGAUGGCCCAGCUGCUAUGUUGUGAGAUGCCCUAUGGAGUAGCCUAUGUGGCAAGUAACCAAAGGAGAUCACCAGCUAACAGCUCAUGAGAGACGGAGGCCUCUGUCCAACACCCUGCAAUGAACUGAAUCUAUCCAACAACCACAGAAAUAAACUUGCAAGUGGGUUUCCCAGGUGAGUCUUCAGCUGAGAUCACAGCCCCAGUCAACAUUUUGAUGGAAGCCUGUAAGAGACCCUGGGACAGAAGCAUCCAGCUAAGCCAUGCCAGUUUCCUGAGACCUAUAAGAAACUGAGAUAAUAAAUGUGUGCUAUUUUAAAAUGCUAUGUUUUGAGGUAUUUUAUUACACAGUAAAGGAUAACUAAUGCAGUUAGAAUUUGGGUAAGCUAGAAUUUGAACUUAAAACUUAUGUGACCCUAAACCCAUCUUCUUUCUAUGCUACCUUCUUUCUAUGCCAUUCUGAACAUUUAUCAAACAUUUUUUAUGUGCUGGCUGUCAUGAUAGGCACU
rnacentral:lncRNA from 10 species